UACGAAGGGGGCUAGCGUUGCUCGGAAUCACUGGGCGUAAAGCGCACGUAGGCGGCUUUUUAAGUCAGGGGUGAAAUCCUGGAGCUCAACUCCAGAACUGCCUUUGAUACUGAGAAGCUUGAGUCCGGGAGAGGUGAGUGGAACUGCGAGUGUAGAGGUGAAAUUCGUAUAUAUUCGCAAGAACACCAGUGGCGAAGGCGGCUCACUGGCCCGGUACUGACGCUGAGGUGCGAAAGCGUGGGGAGCAAACAGG
rnacentral:rRNA from 1 species